AAUCAUUACGCGAUGGAAAUACGUACCCAACGGGUGUGGGUCGUGGGCCAAGCAGACGGCGCAAUACAACCUGAGAUAAGGCGGGGUUGGAUGCCCGUCCACCGUCGACGAGGUGAGCCGUGGCUCGGAACCGGAGUGACGUCUGAUCCAUGGCUCAGGUUGUUUCCUUUCCGUGCGCUGUCAAGGAAUUCGAUGCAGGCGCGAGCGCCUCCCCUACACAGAUCGAGGGUCCCUGCGAGAUAGAGACGCGGAGCUAUGGCGGCGAGCGACAAUGGAUUUUUCGAUGCAACCAAUCGGCAGAUCUUGUUUCAUUGAGGAUGUGGGGGAGAGCUUGGUGCCGCCCCCCUGUGACUGCGGCCGUAGGCUUGGCGACGGGCCCUGUGUCUGCCAAUGGCGAUAUGCGGGUACAUCUGAUGGUUUCGCAGCAGCCGCAGAAGUCUGGGUGGAAUAAGUUGUGAGUGUGAAAACUUGGUGUUUGCAUUAGGAAAUUCAGAAUUUCGGUGGUGGGGUUGAGGAUUGGUGCCGCUACACCCAGCAGGGCACCGCACCCGAAUCGUAUUACUGCAUUCGAGAAGGCUGUCAGAUGUUUUACCGAUUAUCCAUCUGAAACUGUGAUCUCUCCAGUUCUGGGGACUUCAUUUGAAUCGUUGGGGGAAGGCUGGUGUAAAGAACACAAGGUCCUGCCAGUGUCAAUGUCCAGCUCUGAUAAGAUUUUUGUGGGCUGAGGAAAAAUGUUGGUACAUUGCAGAGCACAGAGAGAGUCAUAACCAUUCACCUUCACCUAAUUUUGGGGAGACGAUCCACUGGCCAAUGGCCAUCACACAAGCAUAUCCAUGUUUACAUCAGGGAAUGUUCCAUUCAUGAAAAGGUCUUUGCGUAAUCAGUGUGGGAAGAUAAACUGGGAGCAGGCAAACAACGAUAUGAGGAAGACGAUGCAUGUGUUUGAAGAGAUUGGAGCGAAGGAUCCCACAUUACAUACAGAGUUCAAGCUGAUAACGAUGGCAGGAUUGACAACCUCAUGUGGGCUAGCGGCAGCAGUAGGCUUCAGUACACAUUUCUUGGAGAUGUCAUAACAUUUGAUACCACGUAUAAGAUAAACCUAGGAAGUCAAGCAAGGCAAUAGAUGUAUUUUAUUCAUUGCAUAGGAAGUCAAGCAAGGCAAUGCAUGGGAAAUGCUUGCAGAGAGAACUGAAAUAACGAUUAAACUUGUUAGCCUUCUUUUUCGGUACAUGUUGCCAGGGAAAAAUUUAUGUAGUGAGCAGACGGCUGUGGGAAGUUUCAAAUGUUAGAAAUAAGUGUUACUGGUAAAAAAAGAACUAUGGUUUAAAAUACGUAGAGAUUUUAAUUUUUUGUGCAGGUGGGUGUUGUUAGAGAACUGAAUUAAGGAUUAAACUGUGGAAUGAGAAGACUGCUGUUGUUUCA